GUCGAUAUGGCCGAGUGGUUAAGGCGUUGCACUCGAAAUGCAAUGCUCUCUGAGCGCGCAGGUUCAAAUCCUGCUGUCGACG